UUCUAUUAGAAUUUAUUAAUAGUAUAAUCUGCUCAAUGUAAUUAAAUAGCCGCAAUUCAAUUUGUGCUAAGGUAGCAUAAUCACUCGUUUCCUAAUUAGAAACUAGAACAAAAGAUUGAACAAUUCAACUAAUUUAUUAAAUCUAAAUUUUUAAUCUAUCCUAUAUGUAAAAAGACAUAUAUUAAAAAGAAAGACGACAAGACCCUAUUGAACUUUACUCAAGUUAAACUGGGGCAGUUAAUUAAUUAUUACUUUAAUUCUAAAUAUUUAAUUAAAUAGACCUAAUAAAAUUAAUCAUAUAAUCAAGUUACCAUAGGGAUAACAGCAUAAUAAUUGAUUAAAGCUCUCAUCUAAUCAAAAGAUUGUGACCUCGAUGUUGAAUUAAUAUUCUAUAAUAACGCAAUAGUUUCAUAAGAAAGUCUGUUCGACUU
rnacentral:rRNA from 1 species